rnacentral:lncRNA from 1 species
CUGCUAAUAACAUUUUGCCUUGAGAUUUUUCCAGGCUCUAUGGAAAGGAAAAGUUCCCUAUAAAGUGAGGGCGUUUCUCAUCGCCUCCUAGCUGAUGGAACUUUUCGCAGCAGCCUGGGUCUCCAGCCUGAGGAUGUGGCUGGACCUCAGCCUGGAUGUUCCCAGCUCUCCCUCACUGCCUGCAUUCCUCUGACUGGCCAGUCGGAUCUGGUAUUUUUCCACCCUCCUCCUGGGGCGGCUUCCAUAUCACUCAGACAGCUGCCGCCACAUCCCGCAGCUUCAGAAGCGGACGUAAGGCGCAUUGAAGACCUUUCUGGGAAGAUUACCCCUGAGUUAACAUCUGCUGCCAAUCCUCCUCUUUUUGCUGAGGGAGACUGGCCCUGAGCUAACAUCCGUGCCCAUCUUCCUCUAGUUUAUAUGUGGGAAGCCCACCACAGCAGGCUUGCCAAGUGGUGCCAUGUCCACACGCGGGAUCUGAACCAGCGAAUCCCGGGCUGCAGAAGCGUAAUGGAACUUAACCACUGCGCCACCAGGCCGGACCCUCUUUCAAAUUAUUUCUGCAGAACAGAUUCAUAGAAGGGAAUUAGAGGUAAUGAAUUUUUUUGUGUGUGUGAGAGGAAGAUGGGCCCUGAGCUAACAUCCAUUGCCAAUCUUCUUUUUGCUUGAGGAAGAUUGUCGCUAAGCUCACAUCUUGUGCCACUCUUCCUCUAUUUUGUAUGUGGGACACUGCCACAGCAUGGCUUGAUGAGCGGUGUGUAGGUCUGCACCCAGGAUCUGAACCUGCAAACCCUAGGCCACUGAAGCGGAGUGUGCAAACGUAGCACAAUGCCACUGGGCCCACCCCUCAGCAUGGCGUGCCAAGUGGUGCCAUGUCCACACCUGGGAUCCGAACCCGCGAACCACGGGCUGCUGAGAAGCAGAACGUGUGAACUUAACCGCUGUGCCACCGGGUCGGCCCCUCCUGGGUUUGAUACUGUAUGCUGGUUAUCCAAGACAUAACCGUUGGGGGAAACUGGGACACUUGGUAGCAGUAAAAGGUUGCCCUGAACACUUGACAGAAAGUCAAAGGCAAGAGUAAUAGACAGAAAUACAAAACCUCGGGUCUUGGCUUUAUCACCUGGAGCUACAUAAUGCUGCCACCAAGCCUGCUGUUAGGGUUGUUCAAGUGCCAGCAUCAUUACAGGCCAGAAGACCCUGGAGCCCCUUCGCUGUUGGCCAUGUGACAGCCCCUCAGAUGGCAAAGGCAGACUUGUGGGCUGUCUACAGAUCCGGACACCUGGAGGCUCGGCUCUGUUCCAAGAGGUGAUUUAUGUAGGCAACACAACCCGAGGAGAGGAAAGCCUACGCGGCCCUUUAGACUUCACAUCUUCUUCUACGCCUGAUAGGACUUUCGCAUUUUACAACUGCAUAAUAAUUCUGUUAUUAGGAGGAAUGCCCCUUCAUGUGCCCCAAAUAAAAAAAGGAAAAGUUAAAACCAGAAGUCUUCCAAAACUUAACAUGUCGGUUUUCUCAGAUAGGAAAACCAGACAAGUUACCUCACAAGAAGCAUAGGCUGUGCCACAAACCUUGCUCUUAGUUUUCUUUCGGUCUGAGCGUCCUCAGAUGGGGGUAGGUGGAUGUCUCCAGUUCUACUGGGACUUUUGGAGAAAUUGAAGGAAGGGAACCUCAUUAGCAGAAGGACAAGGAACUAGUCCAGGCGAUAUCUGAAUAUUUAUUAUUUGACCUUAUCUUGAAUGGAAAGGAAAGGCUCUUUGUUCAAAAAACUUCUGACUGAUGCCUGUUCUUUGGACUUCCCUCAUUGCUUUAUAAAAAAAACCUAUUAAUUAACUUAGUGCCUGUUAGAAAGAAGUGAGCUUUCUCUGAACUCUCACAAUUGGUCAUUACUGCUGGUAAGAGAAGCAGCAUUAUGAUUUCCUUUUACAUAUGAAGAAAAUGACGUUCAGAUUAACUUUAUAAUCAUGCAAUAAAUAAUUUGGAGAUCUGGGACCCAAGCAAGCAAAGGGCUAUGGCAGGGAGACCUGGGCUUUUGUUCUGACUUUGCCUACAGCUCGAGGCCACCACUUUGGUCCUUAGUUUUCUUGCCUUAAAAUGGGUUCAGUGGAUUAGAUUGGGGUGGUAACCUUUUUCUGUAAAGGGCCAGAUGUAAACAUUUGUGGCUUUCUGGGCCAUCCAGUCUCUGCGGCAACUACUCAACUCUGCCACUGGAGAGUAAAAGCAGCCACAGACAACAUGUGAAACAAACGGGUGUGACAUUGUGCCAAUAAAACUUCAUUUGCAAAAAUAGGCAGCGGCAUGGAUUUGGUCCAUAGGCUGCAGUUUGCAGACCCCUGGACUAGAUGAUAUAGAAGUUUCUUCUACUGCUAAAAUUUUAUGAUUCAACUUGUUUUAAUGGCAAUGCUAUUUCCCUAGGAAAGUCAUCUUGAUUACACAAUCGUCUGCUGAUUAUACAGUUUAUGAGUACUUAAAUAUUUUUCUGAUGUUCAUUGUAGCAUGAUUCACAAUAGCCAAGGUAUGGAAACUACUUAAGUGUCAUCUGUUAAUGGAUGAAUAGAUAAAAAAGAGGUGGUGUAUAUAUACAAUGGAAUAUUAUUCAGCCAUGAGAAAGAAGGAAAUCCUGCUAUUUGUGACAACCUAGAUGGACCUUGAGGGCAGUAAGCUAAGUGAGCUAAGUCAGACAGAGAAAGACAAAUACUUACAUGUCGACCCUAAAAAAGCCAAACUCGUAGAAACAGAGAGUAAAAUAGUGGUUACUGUCAGGCUGGGGGGUGGAGAAUCGGGGAGAUGUUGAGCAAAGGGUACAAACUUGCAGUUGAAGAUGAGUAAGUUCUGGAGAUCUAACACACAGCAUAGUGAUUUAGCCAACACUAUUGUAUUAUAUACUUCAAAGCUGCUGAGAGACUAGAUCUUAAAUAUUCCCCUUACAAAAGAGAAAUGAUAAUUAUGUGAGUGCUAGAGGAUUUAGCUAAUGCUGUGGUGAUAAUCAUACUGCAAUAUACAAAAGUAUCAAAUCAAUACAUUGUACACCUUAAAUUUACACAAUGCUGUAUGUCAAUUAUAUCCAAUAAAAAGUA